rnacentral:rRNA from 1 species
CGAUAAGUAAUGUGAAUUGCAGAUUUUCCGUGAAUCAUCGAAUCUUUGAACGCACCUUGCGCUCCUUGGUAUUCCGAGGAGCAUGCCUGUUUGAGUGUCAUCGAAACCUCGGAUCGACGCUUCGACCCCGUCGAAGCUCGGUUCGGACUGUGGGAGUCUGCCGGCGAAGCGUGACUUCGUCGGCUCUCCUCAAAAGCAUUAGCUGUGGGUGGCGAGCCUGGCAUGGCACGGCCUGUUCGACGUCGUAGUGAUCGUCGGGGGCUGGAAGUGUAUGGCUCGACGUGACCCAUGCUUCUCGAGUCUUGCGAGCCCGUCCCUCUGUGGGACGGCCGCGCCCCAUCGAAGCUUGACCUCAAAUCAGGUAGGACUACCCGCCGAACUUAAGCAUAUCAAUAAGCGGAGGAAAAGAAACUAACGAGGAUUCCCCUAGUAACUGCGAGUGAAGCGGGAAGAGCUCAAAUUUCGAAUCUGGCGGUCCUCGAUCGUCCGAGUUGUAAUCUAGAGAAGCGUCUUCCGCGCCGGACCGUGUACAAGUCUCCUGGAAGGGAGCAUCGUAGAGGGUGACAAUCCCGUCUCUGACACGGAUCCCCGGUGCUAUGUGAUGCGCUCUCGACGAGUCGAGUUGUUUGGGAAUGCAGCUCAAAUCGGGUGGUAAACUCCAUCUAAAGCUAAAUACAGGCGAGAGACCGAUAGCGAACAAGUACCGUGAGGGAAAGAUGAAAAGAACUUUGGAAAGAGAGUUAAACAGUACGUGAAAUUGCUGGAAGGGAAACGCUUGACGUCAGUCGCGUCGUCCGGGGAUCAACCUCGCUUUUCGCUGGGCGUAUUUCCCGGUCGACGGGUCAGCAUCGAUUUCGACCGUCGUAGAAGGACGCGAGUGAAUGUGGCACUCCACGGGGUGUGUUAUAGCCUCGCGUAUGGAUGCGAUGGUCGGGAUCGAGGAACUCGGCACGACCCCUCGAGGGUUCGGGGCUUCGGUCCACGCAGCGUGCCCAGGAUGCUGGCAUAAU